ensembl:lncRNA
GACAGUAGUUGCAAAUGCAAAGGCAAAAUACAUAUAACAGCAACAUUGCCUUGUAAUUGUUACAGAGAUUGAGGGAGAAAUUGAGGUGGAUUUCAAGAGCGAUGAAAAGGACAUGACAGGAGACAGAGUGAGCAAUCAAGAGGCCACUUUGCCAGGGGCAGGUGAUUCAGGGGCAGCUGCUCCAGGGACCAGACUGCCAGGGACUGAUGGGGCGACUGUGGAGGACCUAAUAAGGCAACUAGAAAAGUUAAUGAGAAGGAAAGCAGAGAGGGAUUUUGUAAAACAAAAAAGAAUCAAUUUGGCACUAAGAAAGAGAAACAAUUCAGUCAACAAGAAGUUA